ensembl:lncRNA
AAGAUUUUUCAACACAGACACAGAAAAAAAUUCUGUGAUAGUUAACAAUAGGACAGCUUUUGUUUCAACUUUCAACUUUGAUCCUGAGAAAUUGUAGGUGCUUUUUGGCACGGAAAAUUUGAAAUGACGUGUCCCAGAUCACGAAUGAAUAGAUUAAAUGACGUGACAGUGUCACGUAUUUCCCUGAGACUGGGUUGGUAAAUGCACUGCAGGUAGUAAACUAGGACACAAGCCCUUCAACGUACCGUCCUUUUCUUCAACAGAAACCUCUGCACUUCCUGCAGAACAAGAACAUUAUAAAUCUACAAAUGAAGAAGUGUUUACAUAUGUAUAUGUGCGUGUGUGUGUGUGUGUUUACGCAUGUGUGACUGUGUGACUGUGUGUGUGUGUGUGUGUGUGUGUGUGUGUGUGUGUGUGUGUGUGUGUGUGUGUGUGUGUGUGAGUGUGUGUGUGUGUGUGUGUGUGUGUGUGUGUGUGUGUGUGUGUGUGUGUGUGUGUGUGUGCGUCUGAACCUGUGACAGUGAUGUUGAUGAUAUGGCCUUUAGUGAAGUUGGUUUCACAUCUGUAUUCCCCAGAGUGGUUGAGGAUCAGGUGAGUGAAGGUGAGGUAGGAGACACCGGAGCUAUUCGACAGGCCCUCCCACCUGCUCUCCAACACGGACCCGGGCUUGUCUUUGUCCGACCCGUUUGUAUAUUUCACCCAUGAGACACGGGGCGGUGGGUCUGAACAGAAGCUGACGGGACACUCGACCUCCAGCUGCACGCCCUCCUGAGCCACGAGCACCUGGUUGCGGCGCACCUUAAUCUCCUCCGCACACUGCCCGCUCGCACCUGCAGGGAGAAACAGAUGGGAGGAGCUCUGUGUGGGCGUCGUCCCAGUAGGACUGCUGGACCAGAGGUCCUAUAACCCAGUAGGACUGCUGGACCAGAGGUCCUAUAACCCAGUAAGAUGCUGGACCAGAGGGUCUAUAACCCAGUAGGACUGCUGGACCAGAGGUCCUAUAACCCAGUAGGACUGCUGGACCAGAGGUCCUAUAACCCAGUAGGACUGCUGGACCAGAGGUCCUAUAACCCAGUAAGAUGCUGGACCAGAGGGUCUAUAACCCAGUAGGACUGCUGGACCAGAGGUCCUAUAACCCAGUAGGACUGCUGGACCAGAGGUCCUACUGGUUCUAUAACCCAGUAAGAUGCUGGACCAGAGGUUCUAUAACCCAGUAGGACUGCUGGACCAGAGGGUCUAUAACCCAGUAGGACUGCUGGACCAGAGGUCCUAUAACCCAGUAGGACUGCUAGACCAGAGGUUCUAUAACCCAGUAGGACUGCUGGACCAGAGGUUCUAUAACCCAUUAGGACUGCUGGACCAGAGGUUCUAUAACCCAGUAGGACUGCUGGACCAGAGGUCCUAUAACCCAGUAGGACUGCUGGACCAGAGGUUCUAUAACCCAGUAGGACUGCUGGACCAGAGGUUCUAUAACCCAGUAGGACUGCUGGACCAGAGGUUCUAUAACCCAGUAGGACUGCUGGACCAGAGGUCCUAUAACCCAGUAGGACUGCUGGACCAGAGGUCCUAUAACCCAGUAGGACUGCUGGACCAGAGGUUCUAUAACCCAGUAGGACUGCUGGACCAGAGGUUCUAUAACCCAGUAGGACUGCUGGACCAGAGGUUCUAUAACCCAGUAAGAUGCUGGACCAGAGGUCCUAUAACCCAGUAGGACUGCUGGACCAGAGGUUCUAUAACCCAUUAGGACUGCUGGACCAGAGGUUCUAUAACCCAGUAGGACUGCUGGAUCAGUUCUGCUGCAACAUAGUAUAUGACGAUCACACGAGAGAAAGAUAUGAUUAUAUUGGAUAUAAAAAAGAUUUGAUAAAAAUGUAAUACAUGCACAGCAUGUAUGAUUAAUAAAUAAAAAUUAACACUAAUGGUGUCUAAUGUUAAUAUCAUGGCUGCACCAUUUUACAAAUUCAUACAUUGAAUGAACAUUACAAAACAACUGCAAAGGCAAUGCACAACAGAGGAAUAACAGCAUGAAACUGAAACACUGAACUGAAAACUUACUGAAACGACUAAACUGAAAUGAUUGAACUGAAAUUAAUUGAAAAAAAAAAAAUGGAUUAAACUAAACCAAAUCGAACCGAAAGAAUUAAACUGAAUCGAAUUAAACUAAAAUAAUCAAACCAAGUUAAUUAAACUGAACAGAAUUAAUGUGAAAUAAUUCAACGGGACGGAAAUCCACUGGACAGAAUUCAGCCUAAACGGGAUUCCACUCGAAGAAUGAAACCGAGCAGAACCAGCUGAGAGCAGAACCAGUAGAGAGCAGAACCAGUGUGGAGGGUCAACCUACCGCUGGUGGAAGAGCUGAGAAGGAGCAGGGGGAGCAGCCAUGUGCUGGACCUCAUGGUGGCUCCAGACCAGACCCCCCAGACCAAAUCCCCUAGACCAGACCCCCCAGACCAGAACCCCUCAGAUCAGACCCUCUCCUCAGAACAGACAGCUUGAGAAAACUAACUGAGAUCCCUU